GUGUGUGUGGUUGUGAUGUGAAUCAUCUAUUUCCUGUCACAUAAUUCAGUUUCCAUCCUCUAUUAAAUGCUAGAUAGUUAUAUAUGUGUUCAUGUCUUUUUAAUUCAUCGAUGUUUUCUUGUGUUAGCAUUUUAUUUCUCUAUUAAAAUGAAAAUACCAAAAGAAAGUGGGUAAAAUAUGAACCUCCCUUUUGCUUGUUUUGCAUUUUCUUGAUCGACGAUUUUCCGGAACGAUCUUAGAUAAAUUUAGGUUUAUUUCCCCGCAAUCAUUCCAAAUAUUUUGUUACCUAGAUUUAGCCGAGCAUAGUCGCUGAUUUGCCUAUUCCCUGUGGAGAACACGACAACCCGCAGUUUGGGCGUAAAGCCGCAUUGUACUUACACUCGAUCAUUUUGGCGCCGUUGCCGAGGACUAGCGUCGAGCUAUUGUGUUAGCCUAUAGACUAGGUUUUUCUUGUUUUCUUUUUGUGACGUUUUUAUGUGAUAUAUCUCUGACAACUAACCCCUGUUCUAGUAUAUUUCCUCUUUAUUUCUUUUUUCCUUUCUGGAGGUUAGAACAAUCUUCUUGGAAAUGGCAUUCUACUCCGAUCAUCAUGCUUAUGUGAGCAAUAGCACAAAUAACACGAAAAGUGUUCAAGACCUGAUAAGUAAGAUUUCCCAUCAAUUAGAUGAAUUAGCUCAGCAGCGAGGUAUAGAUGUUGAGAACGCACCUAGUUGUUAUGAUCCUUAUUAUGUAGGCCAUCCUUAUGCUGCUCCUACAUGCUAUAUUUGUGGAUUUCAGGGCCAUUCACCCGCUGAAUGUCAGCGUGGUUACUCUUACCCUCCAGAUUGUUUUGGCAUGAGCUUUGCCCCAUAGCAUAGCUCAUACCACAACAAUUACUCACAUGGGUGGCCUGAAAACCAGAAUAUGUAAUAUAGGAGCAACAACCCUGAGAUCUCACCAUUUGCUUCAAGAAAUCAUAUGCAGGGAUUUAGGUAUGAACACGAGAGCCACAACUAUGCACCACAACAACUCUAUUCAGCUCCUACUCAUAUACCUCAGCAUCAGGAGAUGUGUCCAAUGGAGUUAAAUGGUCCUCCAUUUGGUGAGCUAACACCUCCAACGCAUGUUGAGUAUCCAGUGCAAGUGCCUACUAAAGAUGAUUUUGACGACAUAGAGAAGCUCACACUUCUUAGCCUCGAGUUCACUUGGAGCGCUCAGGAUGAUCCUAUUAGGAAGGUUAUACUAGAGGAAAUUAAGAAGAUCAAGAGUGGGAAAGAGCUAGUGGAAGAAGUGAGGAAUAUUGAGAAGAAUAUCAAUGCUGGAGGUACUAUCUCAUCACUUCUUGAGCUGAGUGUUGCUGGGAUUUCCCUGGAUACAUGUGAGGUUCCAAUACCUUCACAUUCAGUUGAGCAAGAUAGCAUACGCAAAGAGAAAGAGAGACCUCAGAUUUAAGAUGUAUUCGAAGCCAAGGCACAAGAUGAUCUAGAGCUCGAAUGCCCAAGUCAUCAAGUAGAAGAACCAUCAUCUCUCACUCCUGAAGAAGUAAAAGAAGCUGUUGUACUUGAAGAUGAAGAACUAGAGAUUCAUUUGCCAAUCGUCAUACAAGAGUGUGAUGUAACAGGUUUUUGCUUGUGCACGAUCUACUACAUGGUGACCAGGUUUGAGGUGACAUUCCUUGGGACCCUGGUGGAUUCAAAGCAUGGUGAAGAGGAGAAGCAAGGGGCACACACGAAGAAGAGUGAAGUUGGAGCGGGCAUGCGAUAAGCAAGAGGAGAAGAGCUGCAGUUGGUGAGAUGAUCGAGCGAGUGCUACAUCAUCCAAGCCCGAAAAGUGCGCUAAGGCACUAUAAACUUCAAGGUUUGGAAGCGUGAAGGAAAGAAGAGACCGAGGGGUCAAACUAAACAAGGGGAGGAUCAACUUGUGCAGAAAGAAGAAAAGUAGAGGGACCAAAUUGCAAAGGAGGAAAUCAGUCGUGAGGGGUCAAAAUCCCUAGAGAAGCCUUCGAUCCCCUUCGGGCCUAGUACCUCCAUCUUCUUCUUCCCUGACCCCUCCUUCUCCACCUCCAGUCGCCACCACGGCCAUGCCGGCGUGGUAGGUGCGCCAACAACACCACCCUGUACCACCAUCUCCAUGCAUCCGUCCAUCGUGCCACCGGCGCCACCCAACCGUCCAUCCACUCCAGCACCACCAUCCACACCAGCGCCGUCCUCUGAUCCCCAUCCCCUACUGCUGCUCCUCUCUCCAGCGCCCCCUUGUUGCUCCCUCUCCCCACGUCCCUGUUGGAUCUGCUGCUGAUCCUUCUCCCCUCGUAUCAGUUUCUGCUCCCUCUCCCCUCGUAUCUGCUACUGCUCCCUCUCCACUCGUCUCUGUUGUUGCUCCUUUUCCCACGAUCUGCUGUUGCUCCUUCUUCCUUGACCUGCUGAUGCUCCCUCUCCAAACCGUUGUUGCUGCUGCUCCUAACCUGAAGCUCUUCUUUUCCUUCAACUAGUUGCUGCUGUUAUCUCUCUCCCUCUCUCCCAAAUUUCUGUAAACUUGAGAAGUGUGAUGUUCAGAAUUAUGUAAUAUUCAGAUUUGGUUCAGUUUCAUACUUGUAAUAUCAUGUUACAUCUUGUGUUCUCUGAAAUGUUAGGCCUAGUUGCUAUGUA